rnacentral:rRNA from 1 species
CGCUCGUAGUCGGAUUUCGGGGCGGGCCGACCGGUCUGCCGAUGGGUAUGCACUGGCCGGCGCGUCCUUCCACCCGGAGACCGCGCCUACUCUUAACUGAGCGGGCGCGGGAGACGGGUCUUUUACUUUGAAAAAAUCAGAGUGUUUCAAGCAGGCAGUCGCUCUUGCAUGGAUUAGCAUGGGAUAAUGAAAUAGGACUCUGGUGCUAUUUUGUUGGUUUCGAACACCGGAGUAAUGAUUAACAGGGACAGUCAGGGGCACUCGUAUUCCGCCGAGAGAGGUGAAAUUCUCAGACCAGCGGAAGACGAACCACUGCGAAAGCAUUUGCCAGGGAUGUUUUCACUGAUCAAGAACGAAAGUUAGGGGAUCGAAGACGAUCAGAUACCGUCGUAGUCUUAACCAUAAACCAUGCCGACUAGGGAUUGGAGGAUGUUCCAUUUGUGACUCCUUCAGCACCUUUCGGGAAACUAAAGUCUUUGGGUUCCGGGGGGAGUAUGGUCGCAAGGCUGAAACUUAAAGGAAUUGACGGAAGGGCACCACCAGGAGUGGAGCCUGCGGCUUAAUUUGACUCAACACGGGGAAACUUACCAGGUCCAGACAUUGUGAGGAUUGACAGAUUGAGAGCUCUUUCUUGAUUCGAUGGGUGGUGGUGCAUGGCCGUUCUUAGUUGGUGGAGUGAUUU